rnacentral:tRNA from 2 species
GCGUCAUUAGCUCAAUGGAUUAGAGCAACAGGUUUCUACCCUGUCGGUUGGGAGUUCGAAUCUCUCAUGGCGCG